AUUACCACUGUCUUCUGGAAGAGACCUGAACUGAAGAUAAUAUAGAUGCCUAAGAGCUGAGCAAGAACUCAACAGAAAGCAGACGACUCAUAUGAGUGCCAUCCACUGAAAAAGAACUGAGGAGAGUAAGGAAGCCUGAUCAGGAACCAAGCAAAAGAAAACAAGGGUUUGGAGGAUGGUGGCAACAGUAAGACUCUCUCUGGGAACUCAGAAGAACUACAGCAGAGUGGGGGAGGAUGACAGCAAAUCAGAGGAUAGUUGAAGCAUGAAGGUGACUCCAGGUUAUUCGAGGCUAUGGCAACAGAGCCCAAGCUCUGGCAAAUCUUACCAAGCUAUAAAAGCUUGUGGAAUGGUUGUUUGUCGUCAAAAGUAUCAAACCUAAACCAACAAGGAAUUUGCCUGAGCUAGGUCUUCCCACAAAAGACACGUUGUAUUGGAGGAGCUGGUGAG